rnacentral:lncRNA from 1 species
CUCUCUCCAGAACCUCUUCUUGGGGACCCCUCUCUGAAGCCUCUUCUUGGGAGCAGCUUUCUGGAGGAAAACGGGCAGCAUAGUUGUGCUGUUGCUGAUGGAUGGAGAUGUGGAAAUGCUUCAUGCAGGGAUCCAGGGGGUCUGCUCGCACCGUGAUGGUGACCGGCUUCCGAAUACCCAGAGACUGCCUCUUCUCUACUGUCACAACAUCAAUUUCUUCAUUCUCUGUCCGAGAAAAGAGAUCAAGAGAAGAAACACAUCCCAUGAGAAACACAAACAUAGACCCUACAGCUUUAGCUGUCUACGCUGGUGCUUGGGAAGGUCGCCUGCCCCACCUCCUUCCCUGGACUAGAAGGUUAGAUUUGUAAUCAUAGGUCGGCGAAGCUGCAGGAACUUCACAAAGGUACAAGCGACCAUUUCCAAACUACCUGCACCAGAGGCAGAGACUGGGCAGCAGAAUGUCCCAGAUAUGGGGCUCAUAACACCAGAGACCUGGAGACACCUGGACACGCCCUUCUCAUUCACUGGCUUGAAGGUCUCUUAGGUUAACCUAACCAGGAGAGGGGCAAUUGGGAGAAAAGUCUCCUCCUGCUCCACACAUUUUGCAGCCUCCACACAGAAGUCCACCUUAAUGGAUCUCGGCCUCGCAAAGGAAGAGCUCCGUUCUCAGCUUCUUUGCAUAUCAGGAAGCUUGAGCCCCUUUGUCAGGAAGGCUUCCAUUGUGUGGACAAUCGCAUUAUUUCUCCAUUAAUAAACCUGACCAUUCAGCCCUCCUGGCCCCAAAG